GCGUCUGCAGGUGGUUUCUUAAGUCUACUGUUAAAUCUUGAGGCUCAACCUCAAAUCUGCAGUAGAAACUAGGAGACUUGAGUAUAGUAGGGGUAGAGGGAAUUUCCAGUGGAGCGGUGAAAUGCGUAGAUAUUGGAAAGAACACCGAUGGCGAAGGCACUCUACUGGGCUAUUACUGACACUCAGAGACGAAAGCUAGGGGAGCAAAUGGGAUUAGAUACCCCAGUAGUCCUAGCCGUAAACGAUGGAUACUCGAUGUUGGACGUAUCGACCCGUUCAGUAUCUUAGCUAACGCGUUAAGUAUCCCGCCUGGGGAGUACGCUCGCAAGAGUGAAACUCAAAGGAAUGGACGGGGGCCCGCACAAGCGGUGGAGGAUGUGGUUUAAUUCGAUGCAACGCGAAGAACCUUACCAGGGUUUGCUAGAAGUGUUGGUUUUCUGAAAAGAAUUCCUUAUUCCGCUUCUACAGGUGGUGCAUGGCUGUCGUCAGCUCGUGUCGUGAGAUGUUGGGUUAAGUCCCGCAACGAGCGCAACCCUUAUAUUUAGUUCUAUUGUCUAGAAAGACUGCCGGUGACAAACCGGAGGAAGGUGAGGACGACGUCAAGUCAUCAUGCCCCUUACACCCUGGGCUACACACGUCCUACAAUGGGUAAGACAAUAAGUUGCAAAUUCGCGAGAAUAAGCUAAUCUUUGAAACUUACUCCAAGUACAGAUUGCAGGCUGCAACUCGCCUGCAUGAAGGUGGAAUCGCUAGUA
rnacentral:rRNA from 1 species